UGGGGAAUAUUGGACAAUGGGGGCAACCCUGAUCCAGCGAUGCCGCGUGGGUGAAGAAGGCCUUCGGGUUGUAAAGCCCUUUAGGUUGGGACGAAGGUUGUAUGGUGAUAAGCCAUGCAGCUUGACGGUACUAACAGAAUAAGCACCGGCAAACUCUGUGCCAGCAGCCGCGGUAAUACAGAGGGUGCAAGCGUUAAUCGGAGUUACUGGGCGUAAAGGGCGCGUAGGCGGUAAUAUGAGUGUGAUGUGAAAGCCCCGGGCUUAACCUGGGAAGUGCAUCGCAAACGAUAUUACUGGAGUAUAAGAGAGGGUGGCGGAAUUUCCGGUGUAGCGGUGAAAUGCGUAGAGAUCGGAAGGAACGUCAAUGGCGAAGGCAGCCACCUGGCUUAAUACUGACGCUGAGGCGCGAAAGCGUGGGUAGCGAACAGGAUUAGAUACCCCCGUAGUCC
rnacentral:rRNA from 1 species